UCUGGGAAUGCUCGUCGCCGGAGCAGUAACGCUUCAGAGCGACUUUGUGUCGAACAGUUUCCUCAGUCCCCUUUUCGGAAAUCUACGGUUCUGCAACAUUUACCUUCCUGAACUAAUGCUUGGACUGGGUGUGGCCAUGAUAACAGUUGGAGUUUUCAACACGGGAAGCGUGUGGUCUUGUACAGAACAUUCUCUGUUUUAAAUCAAAAUCAAAGAUUUUAAUUGACCGAAUCCUACAGAUAAUUAUGAGUGUGGUGCACAUUAUGAUGCUUAUCUUCUGGAGCAGAAUGCUGUACGUUGUCAGGGACCAGAUGGAGUUCCAACUAUAUAAAGAAUUUCUGGGUUAUGAUAGUCAGCUCGACUACGGAGAUUAUUUUACCCAGUCAUGGAAGGCAC